GCAGCGAUGGCCGAGUGGUUAAGGCGGUUGACUAGAAAUCAAUUGGGCUCUGCCCGCACAGGUUCGAAUCCUGUUCGCUGCG
rnacentral:tRNA from 1 species